GAUAAAGGAAAAGCUAAGAUAUAAAAGGGAGGCGACAGGAUGGUGGUGGUGAUGAAGAUUAAAUGAUGCUAUCUUCAAGUGCUUCAUAAGUAAAAUGAUGCUCACCAAUUCAAUUCCGAAUUUGGAUCCAUAAUGAUCAAAUUACCAGCAUAUCAACAUCUCUGUUUCUGCAUUCCAGCAUCUCUGUCAGCUUACUGAUUUUUUUUUCUCUGCUUUUACAAUUGGUUUCUUCAUCUUUAGUUAGAACUCAUUCCUUGUUGAAUUAGAAGUACAUUUUAGUUGUGAUUUAGAUCCUACAGAUGGAUGCUCGUAGAUUUAAACCAAUCUGCUUCUAGUGGCUGGCAGUGUUCAGCAUGGCUAGAUUUCAGAAUUCAUUAACUUCAAAACCCUUCUCCCAAA